rnacentral:tRNA from 1 species
CCCCUGGUGGUCCAGUGGUUAGGAUUUGGCGCUUUCACUGCCGGGGCCUGGGGUUCUAUCCCUGGUAGGGGA